UUGAGCCGGUUGUACUGCUUCGGUAGUCUUUGGCCAAGGGGCGCGGCGGGAGGUGCGACUUGUGCGUUUCGUGAUUUCUUUGAGCCCGGACUACGCGGUUCAUUGGCAUAUACAGUGCAGAAUCGUUCGGUCUGCAAAGGUGCCGCCGCUGGCCAAGGACUGAUCUGCACACAUCAAGGAGGACCAUAGGCUACAUCCUGGUACGAAGUUUGGUCACGUGACCUCUCUCAACCUUGACAUGCCCCGCCCACCUUUUCUCCAGUCUGUCAUAAAGAGUCCAGAGGGUGAACGGAACAGUCUCACACCUCGUUCGCGGUCGCGCUCAAGGUCACGUCUAGAGUCACCAGCCGCUUCCCCUGCUCAUCGCCGCACAGCCACGUCGCAGUCAAGGUCUCCCCAGCCUCGCAGACGCUCAUUUUCCAGGUCGCGAUCCCGAACCCCACGCAGGCAUCGCUCCCGGAGUGGCUCACCUCGAAACGGUCAUGAUGGAAGUAGUCGCCGCUCUCGACGCAGCCGGUCGGUCCACUCAAGCUCCCCGAUGUCGAACCGGAGGCGGCAUAUCGGCACCAGAGACAAUCCCGAGCCAUCCAAGUGCCUGGGGGUGUUUGGCCUAAGCGUGCACACCACGGAAAGACAGCUGUACACCAUUUUUGACAAGUUUGGCCCUCUGGAGAAAGUACAAGUAGUCCUGGACUCGAAAACGGGCAAGUCAAGAGGCUUUGCGUUCGUGUACUUUGAGUCACUUAAGGAUGCCUCGGAAGCCAAAAAUGAGUGUUCUGGGAUGGAGAUUGAUGGCCGGAGGAUUAGAGUUGAUUAUUCCAUCACCAAGCGGCCGCACACUCCAACUCCAGGAAUAUACAUGGGUAGACCCACAUCUCGCGGUGGCUACGACCGGGGCUACGGCCGAGGAGGCCACCGUGGAGACAGGUACCGUUCCCCGUCACCCCGUUACCGGCCUCGCUCCAGCGGUGGGCGCCGCGACUAUUACGAUCGUGGGUAUGUACUCGGCCAGGGCGUUACCGCACAACUCAAGCCACCACAAGAUAUAAUAGUUCAUGUGGAGGCAAGCUAGUUAAAGCAAGUUUACAGAAGCUUCUUAAGUAGGCCAAGGGGCUGAAGAUGAUCAACUCCCAAGUUAAUGGUGAAGGUGGUUAAGAAUUGAUGGAUUGAUGGAAAGGAUUCACGGUUUGUUCAGAGCAACCCUCCAAAGGCAAUUGACAAGUGCAGAUGAAAAAACAGUAAAAUUGUGAGGAAAAACCUGUGAACUGAAGAUUUCUAAGAGAUUUGAGGUAUGACCGCGGGGACAGGAGCUAUGACAGAGGCUAUGACCGCUACGACAGGCCUCAAUACCAUGACCGCUAUGAUAGAUAUGACCGUGCUUAUGACAAGUACGAUCGCUACGAUAGGUCCAGAUCUCGCUCCUAU
rnacentral:misc_RNA from 1 species